rfam:Neisseria sp. oral taxon 020 str. F0370 genomic scaffold Scfld338, whole genome shotgun sequence.
AAAUUUAAGAUUUAAUUUAAAAAAAUCUUAUAGAUAAAGGAAUAUUUAUGGCUCGUAUAGCAGGGGUUAACAUCCCUAAU